GCUUAACACAUGCAAGUCGAACGGAAAGGCCCUGCUUUUGUGGGGUGCUCGAGUGGCGAACGGGUGAGUAACACGUGAGUAACCUGCCCUUGACUUUGGGAUAACUUCAGGAAACUGGGGCUAAUACCGGAUAGGAGCUCCUGCUGCAUGGUGGGGGUUGGAAAGUUUCGGCGGUUGGGGAUGGACUCGCGGCUUAUCAGCUUGUUGGUGGGGUAGUGGCUUACCAAGGCUUUGACGGGUAGCCGGCCUGAGAGGGUGACCGGCCACAUUGGGACUGAGAUACGGCCCAGACUCCUACGGGAGGCAGCAGUGGGGAAUAUUGCACAAUGGGCGGAAGCCUGAUGCAGCAACGCCGCGUGCGGGAUGACGGCCUUCGGGUUGUAAACCGCUUUCGCCUGUGACGAAGCGUGAGUGACGGUAAUGGGUAAAGAAGCACCGGCUAACUACGUGCCAGCAGCCGCGGUGAUACGUAGGGUGCGAGCGUUGUCCGGAUUUAUUGGGCGUAAAGGGCUCGUAGGUGGUUGAUCGCGUCGGAAGUGUAAUCUUGGGGCUUAACCCUGAGCGUGCUUUCGAUACGGGUUGACUUGAGGAAGGUAGGGGAGAAUGGAAUUCCUGGUGGAGCGGUGGAAUGCGCAGAUAUCAGGAGGAACACCAGUGGCGAAGGCGGUUCUCUGGGCCUUUCCUGACGCUGAGGAGCGAAAGCGUGGGGAGCGAACAGGCUUAGAUACCCUGGUAGUCCACGCUGUAAACGGUGGGUACUAGGUGUGGGGUCCAUUCCACGGGUUCCGUGCCGUAGCUAACGCUUUAAGUACCCCGCCUGGGGAGUACGGCCGCAAGGCUAAAACUCAAAGGAAUUGACGGGGCCCCGCACAAGCGGCGGAGCAUGCGGAUUAAUUCGAUGCAACGCGUAGAACCUUACCUGGGUUUGACAUGGAUCGGGAGUGCUCAGAGAUGGGUGUGCCUCUUUUGGGGUCGGUUCACAGGUGGUGCAUGGCUGUCGUCAGCUCGUGUCGUGAGAUGUUGGGUUAAGUCCCGCAACGAGCGCAACCCUUGUUCACUGUUGCCAGCACGUUAUGGUGGGGACUCAGUGGAGACCGCCGGGGUCAACUCGGAGGAAGGUGGGGAUGACGUCAAGUCAUCAUGCCCCUUAUGUCCAGGGCUUCACGCAUGCUACAAUGGCUGGUACAGAGAGUGGCGAGCCUGUGAGGGUGAGCGAAUCUCGGAAAGCCGGUCUCAGUUCGGAUUGGGGUCUGCAACUCGACCUCAUGAAGUCGGAGUCGCUAGUAAUCGCAGAUCAGCAACGCUGCGGUGAAUACGUUCCCGGGGCUUGUACACACCGCCCGUCAAGUCAUGAAAGUUGGUAACACCCGAAGCCGGUGGCCUAACCGUUGUGGGGGAGCCGUCGAAGGUGGGACUGGUGAUUAGGACUAAGUCAUAAC
rnacentral:rRNA from 1 species